UUGUGUUUCAUACGUUUUUUUUUGUUUAGUUUGCAAUUUAUAAAUACUCAAUUUCGCCAAGAUGUUUGAUGCACCCGGCUCAGACUGACAGCGUUGCCUCAAUUACCUUUGACAAUUCGCAGCAACUCGAGUUGACAUCGGAGCAACAAACAGAACUGGCAAAUUUCAUACGAAGGACCUUAGGCAAUAAUCGUUUAUCUUGCAUCAUUGCAGUUAAGCUACCUCCAAGCGGGUAUCCCACUUUGUCGUUACAACGACUAAGUGUGAUUUUGCCAGGGGGAUGUGUAAUAGGCCGCUUGUCGUAUCUGAAAUUGGCUAAGCCUAAAAGUAUGCAACAUUUUUUUUCCGUUCUUUUUCUAUACACAUACAUAUUUCUACCUAUUAUUUAUUAUAUUAUUUAUUUAUAUGUUUAUUGUACUAGUUAAUUUGUAUUAUUUAAUUUGUUUCGUUGUAUAACAUAAUUUGUAGUCUGAGAAAAUGGUACUCAAUGUCUUGUCGUGUUUUGUGCUUAGAAGCGGAGCUUUAUUUACAAAUGAUACUGAAAGCUCCAGAAAUAGCGCCAUCUAUUGGUGGACCACGAUACAUGCAAGCAUUAAUUGCUAGAUCAGCUGAUCGUGUGAAGUCCAGACCAAAAUAGACAAGCGAUUACCUUUUUGAGUAGGAUUAAUUGUCAAAUUUCCGAAAAAAAGGUUUUUGUUGUUGGUUUUGGCUGGAAGAAAAAUGGUUGGCAGGUUAUGUGCCGAACCUGAAAAAAUGUGUACAAGUGCAUGUGACUAAAAAGUAUAUAUCUCAGUGAAGUGGUUGGCGAAGCCUGAUGCAGAUAUCUUACUUUGCACCUUUGCCGUCAACCCAACACAUGCAAUAGAUGGUUGUCCACUGCAGGAGUUUGUCCUCCCAUACCAAGUGCCGUUUUCCAGAUUAGGAUUCGGCACUUAGUCAUAUUUUAUAUAAAACCUGGUAUUAAACUGACUCUAAUGACCCAGUCUUAUUUUAUAUAAACCCAGCCAUAUUUUAUAUAAUAGCCCAGCGGUAGAAUUUUAAAUUAAUUUAAACUGCAACUUCAACAGACACAACUGCUUGAUUAACGGCCAACCACCCAAAGCUCCACGUCGCAGCUGUGCUGGCCAGAUCAGCUGUCUGGACAACACAAACAGUUGAGCGGUUGCUAGCUGCAGACGCUCAUUGAGCACAGGAGAAUUGCUUCCCAGCAGGUUGUGUUUCUACUGCAAAACACCUGCGUCCGGCAGCCUUGCGAUCUCCGUUGGCUAUUUGCUCCGCACUUGUGGUGGCAUCGAGGCCGAGUAUCUGCGUCACCCAGGAGGAAGGCGAACGGCUGACUAGCAGCUUAUUUUUUUUUUGUUUGUUUGUUUAUUAUUGUUAAUUUACGUUAUGUUGUUUAAGUAUGCAUUAAUAAGUGAUAGUCCAUCAAUGUUGUAAGUGUAAUAUGAUGUGGCGAGAAAGUUGAACCAACAACUUUUCUGGGUCCUUCAUAAUACAAGUACCACUGUACUAUUGUAUAAAAUAGAAAUGGCAAUCAUUUAAGAAGGCAUGUAAGGCAACACCUCUAGGCAAAAUAUCUUUGUAAAAUUGAAUUUAGUUAUAAAAAUUAAUGUUUUUGUAUUGCCUGGAAAGCAUGUAAAACCAUACUUGCAUACAUUUGUAUGUAUGCAUGUUUGUUUUGAUCGACGUUACCGGUCGUAGCAAGCAGCUUCCAUGCAGGCGCAAAAGCUCGCAAUUAUUAUUAUUCCCCACAGAUACACCACAGACAGGCACCAACACAAGGAAAGAUCUUUCUGCGUGGGAGUCUCUAAUGUAUUGGUGCGUCCUAUUAGUUGGCCCUUUCCUUGAACCCCAUGCUAUCUGAGCAAAGCCCGGAGAAGCCAGCGCGUACGCCACACUAG